AGCUUUACUCACAGACAAGCCUCCCAAGCCAUUGUUUCCCAUGGAGAAUCAGCCAAGUGUUAUAGAUGUCCAGCUGGUAUUAUUAAAGGCAUGGACUUGGGAGUUAUUUGAACCUGGGUUCCAGUGGCACUGCCCCUCACUAUGUGACCCCAGGCACGCAGCCAAGAAAAUUUCAAUAUACACAUUGAAUGAACAACUCUACAAGAGGAUUGUAACUAAAGAUGACUCUAGCACACUUUGGUUGUUAAUGAAGCAUUCAAGAUGAUACUCCCCUGUAAACAAGAAGAUCAUAGGGACCAGUGAUCAAGGCCAAGAGUGGCCAUUGAUCACCUCAAGAAGUAGCUACCCAAUUCUGAGGACUUGCUGCUUUGGGCCCAGAGUAUCAUAUAACUCAUAGGAGACCAUCAAGCUUCCUUUUUCAGACAUGGUUUCCUGUGUUUGAUUUUAGGUCUCAUUUUACUCUAAGACACUUUCCUUAUUUUUAAUAUUCUCCCAAAUUCAGAAAGAUAUUACUUUCAUGACCUUGUCAUAAUUAACAAUAGCUAUUUCUUGAUAAUGAGCUAUUACCUGUAACUCUACAUAAUUCUUCUGACAGGCUGACAGGCUGACUAAUUAACAAGAUUUGACCACCCUCUCAAAUCAGCUGGCAAGGCUUUGGGCUUUGACACUGAAAAAGUUCUUUGAAGCUUACUUACCAGUCUUACCUACUGCUUGCAGGCUGUCCUGGGGGAGCUGCUUUGAUGCCACGGUGCAUUGGUCUUGCUGCCCAUUUCAAAAAUGAAAAGACCCAGCUUGCUUACUCCAGCUCAACAAAGAGAUUAGUCCACCAAACAUGAGGAAAUCACGACUUGCCAGUAACUACAUCUGAAGGGUCUGAAUUAUCAGCCAAAGCCUUCUUAACUUAAAAUCUGCUAUCUGCUGCAUAUGGUGCCUAAAUACCAAAGGAACAGAGCACUUUUAAAUCCUUGGCAUGGCUGUUGUUAAAAGAUAAUUUUACCAAAAAAAAGUAAAAUCAUGGCUCUCAUACAGAUAUGAACACAUGCUAAAGACUUUGUUUAACUCAUUAAUGAGGGAACUGAUGAAGUCUUACAUAACCAAUUUGAGAAAGAAUUCAAGAAAAAAAGGACAGGAAUAUUGAAAUGGAUUUGCAAAUGAAAACAAACUGGCCUCUUUCAAAGUUUGUGUGUGGGGGGGAGGGGACCGUUGGAUAUCCAAUGGAUAGAAUUUACAUGUCUAUGGACAAGAAUUAUUUUGCAUGCUAUCAGUUUUCUACAGUUUACAGAGUUGUAAAAUUGCUCAAAAACAGUGAAAAACUAGAAUCAGGUAUAAUGGAGGGAUGUGAUCCAAACAAUGUAUAGUUUUCUGUUCAAAGAUUUUUGUUCUGCGCUGUGCUGGGGGAGAUGGCCCAGGUCUUGGCAAACUAAGCGGUGGGCUAAAAGCCAUAGGCUCCUUGCUGUCAGGGCUCCUUGAUCCUGAACCGGCCAACUUACAGAAACCAUUUCUUGAACUUUGUUUUAGGAUGCCUUCAGCCUGCUGCUGGAUUCAUUU
ensembl:lncRNA